GAAUUUCAUCAUAGGAGAAGAGAUGGAUUGCCCUAUACCAGCAUGUGCAAAGUGCACGUUGAAUUGCUUAUUGAUUCAUGGGAAGAAUAAGGACCCAUCGAUUGUUGCUACCUCUUUUUUCAAAAUCAUGAUUGGUGAUAAUUUUUCAAAAGUUCUGUUCUUGCCUCCUAAAUUUGCCCAAACAGUGUCAGACUUGAUUGA